rnacentral:lncRNA from 1 species
UUGUCCAAGCCUAUUCUCCAUUCAUGUACUUGCAUCCUGAUGAAGAGUUCCAACCUGCUUCCACCAAGUGGUAUUUCACAAAUGGGGCAUUGCUUGUUAAGAAAGGAGAAGAGUCCAAACCUGUGCCAAUAGACCCUACAGGUUCUAACCUUCCUCAGGGUGGCAACAAUGAUGGUGAGUAUUGGUUGGACCUUCCUUCUGACAAAGCCAACAAGGAAAGGGUGAAAAAGGGUGAUUUCAAGAGUUGCCAAGCCUAUGUUCAUGCCAAACCCAUGUUUGGUGGAACAUUCACUGACCUUGUCAUGUGGGUUUUCUACCCAUUCAAUGGGCCUGGAACAGCC